GUUGGGUUCCAAUCUCCUUCGCUUCCAAUCUUCUUUAUCCCUCUCUUUCUUCGUCUCUCUGUUUAUUUCUUCUAAUUACAGGCGCAGCUGGGCUUUCUUUGACAGCCUAAAUCCACAUCCAUGUCUUCUUUAAAUAUGUAAUUCCAAUUUCGGCCUCUUUGAUUUUACUUCCUCACAUGUUGCUUUUGCUGGAGAUUGAUGUGGGUCAAUAGAUCAUGCCCAGAUCUUGUUCUAUCUUGAUCCACUUGC
rnacentral:misc_RNA from 1 species